AGGUAACAUUGCCUUCUACUAGGGGAUAACAGUUGGAAACGACNGCUAAUACCCUAUAUUCCUUAUUAGCACAAGUGUGUAAGGGAAAGAUUCAUUGGUAGAAGAUUGGCCUAUAUUGUAUCAGCUAGUUGGUAGUGUAAUGGACUACCAAGGCUAUGACGCAUAACUGGUUUGAGAGGAUGAUCAGUCACACUGGAACUGAGACACGGUCCAGACUCCUACGGGAGGCAGCAGUGGGGAAUAUUGCACAAUGGGCGAAAGCCUGAUGCAGCAACGCCGCGUGGAGGAUGACACAUUUCGGUGCGUAAACUCCUUUUAUAUGGGAAGAUAAUGACGGUACCAUAUGAAUAAGCACCGGCUAACUCCGUGC
rnacentral:rRNA from 1 species